rnacentral:rRNA from 1 species
CCUACGGGUGGCAGCAGUGAGGAAUAUUGGUCAAUGGACGAGAGUCUGAACCAGCCAAGCAGCGUGAAUGAUGACUGCCCUAGGGGUUGUAAACUUUUUUUAUAUGGGAAUAAAAUGUUCCACGUGUGGGAUUUUGUAUGUCCCAUAUGAAUAAGGAUGGCAUAACUCCGUGCCAGCAGCCGCGGUAAUACGGAGGAUCCGAGCGUUAUCCGGAUUUAUUGGGUUUAAAGGGAGCGUAGGUGGUUUGUUAAGUCAGUUGUGAAAGUUUGCGGUUCAACCGUAAAAUUGCAGUUGAAACUGGCAGUCUUGAGUACAGGAGAGGUGGGCGGAAUUCGUGGUGUAGCGGUGGAAUGCUUAGAUAUUAGGAAGAACUCCAAUUGCGAAGGCAGUUCACUGGACUGCAACUGACACUGAGGCUCGAAAGUGUGGGUAUCAAACAGGAUUAGAUACCCCUGUAGUC